rnacentral:rRNA from 1 species
UACGGAGGGUGCAAGCGUUAUCCGGAUUCACUGGGUUUAAAGGGUGCGUAGGUGGGCAGUUAAGUCAGUGGUGAAAUCUCCGGGCUUAACCCGGAAACUGCCAUUGAUACUAUCUGUUUUGAAUAUCGUGGAGGUAAGCGGAAUAUGUCAUGUAGCGGUGAAAUGCUUAGAUAUGACAUAGAACACCAAUUGCGAAGGCAGCUUACUACCCGAAUAUUGACACUGAGGCACGAAAGCGUGGGGAUCAAACAGG